rnacentral:misc_RNA from 1 species
AGGUCGGGCGGCAGCCAUGAGAACGGCGAGCACGGCCGCUCGAAAGUCGUCCGGACAGUAGAGGUGCAGCUGCGGAGACCACACCAGCAUCGCUGCAACAGACAAGCGCACGGGCGUUGGACUCGCGCGGACGACGCCGUUAGCACAGCACCCGUCGCAUAUUGUACUUGGGUGCGGACCACAGCACACUGACGGCGAGCAGACGCCUGGACCAAACACA